AAAGUUAUAGGUUAAAUAUAAUAAACCUUAGGCCUUCAAAGCCUGUAAUGAGUUAGUCUAACUUUG
rnacentral:tRNA from 1 species